UUAAAGUAAUCAAUUUUCAAAACGUUUAUUAAUGAAUUUUCUAUUUCAAAGGUCUAUUAUUCAAAACAAUUGACAGAAACUGACAGUAACAAUCACUUAUAUAGUUUUGGUGUAAUGUACUGGUUACAAUAAGGAGAUUAAUGGUUUUAUAUAUCGGAUCGAUACGUUCGUGAUAGCCACGUCUUUACAACCUUAUUAUUGAUGGUUAUUAAAAGAAAGAGAAAAAUAUUUAAAUUCAAUGUAACUUUCAAAAGACCCAAAGAAUUAAAUAAUUUCAAUGAAGUAACUAACUGAUUAUUCCAUAAAUAAUUAUUCCUUCUAGAGAUUUAUAAUUUUAUUUUUGUUUUGAAAAAUUGUAAUCUUAUGUAGUUGAAAAAAAGCUUAGUUUGUUCUGUUUAUUUAUUAAUAGAGUGGUUGUCAAAGGGAGCAGAAAUAGUUCAUAUUUGAAAUUUUGUAUAGUUGAAUAAUUAGUCAAGGGAAUGAGGACAGAAAUUAAAUGUCAAGUAAAAAAUAUGAUGAUAAAAUUGUAGCAAAAUUACUCCAGUAAAAAUAUAUUAUCAUUUACACGAAUAGAGCAAUAAAGUCAGUAUUAAAAAAAAAGAGCUCCCAGAGGAAGACAGUUCGUAACUCGAUUCUAAAAGCAUAAUGGACACUCAUCCUAAUGGACCACAAGAUUGCUGUUUUGCAUGUCAAAACACUAGAUAAAAGAAGCCGGUCUGCUCCGAGCACCUUUCUAUUGAAUUUCUAGGUGUCUGAAAAAUUUCAGAGCACAUACAUAUUUUGGUUGAAAUUUCCUCGUCGUUAAUAUAUUCAGAAUUUAAAAUAUAUCUUAUAAUUUUAAAAACGUUCAAGCUAUACUUUUCAUUUUAAAAAUAAUAAAUUUACGGAAUUGACGUUCUAAAUUUUCAAUUUGAAAGUAAUUAGAGUUAAUUGGUGAACAUUGAAAUUUGUCGAGAAUACUUAAAAUCAAAUAAUGUUUCUAUAUAAGAAUCUACAAAAAAGAUUAUAGAAAGAUAAUUUAAGAUAUCUUCUUUCAUUCGAAUGCUUUCAUUCAAGCAACACUUCACCACGUUGUGUAUUUAUUUCUUAAAUCAACAUUUCAAUAGUUUUUUAAAUACCGCUGUGCAAUAUUCCGUAUUUCACGCCCACUUGAGAAACGCUUUAAUAAACUGGUAGAAUUUGAAGUAGUAAAACAUGCAAAGGAUGUGCGAGUAAAGAUGAUAUUAAAAAGAUCCGUUCAACCAGAAGAAUUGUACUUCUACGAAAAUAUCUUACAUUUGAAACUCAAUUGAUCGUGACCUAUCGAGCAUAUUACUGUUCAAUUCUUAUUAAUCUUGAAUGUAAAAUCAAUAAUUCAAACUCUUCCAGUAGCCAAAUAAUUUUAUUUUCUCGGUGUCUCUUUUUUAAUACCAAAUUCUUAGAAACACCCUGUAAUAUUGUUACCCUGUUUCAGAAGAAACUAAAUUAAAAUAACAUUAAAUAUUCCAUCUUUCAAUUACCUCUGAGCAACAUAAAUCACGAUACCUACAACCGAAAAACACCUCACUCAGCCUUAAACUUCUCCUUGAAACAUCGAUUCAUAUAAACAUCCCCCCAAAUCAUAUACUUUGAUGUUUCUACUCGACAUAUCGUAUCGAAGGUCUCGUCGGAUCACUAUUGACCAAAGAAGAAAUAUUCCUCGACCGAAAAUAGAACAUCGACACGGUUUGUUUAAAGGAAGGGCACGUUUGGCACUGGAUAACACACUCGGAGGAGCACACUCUGUUUAGGUCGAGCGGGUCGAGUUGACCCGACGGCUUGUUGGCCGCGUUGAUGGUGGCGAGAAGCAGAAAACUAAAAGGAUGAAUCGCGGGAUAAAGUUUUCGUGCUGGUUUCACCACGGAAAUCCGACGGCUGACUGGAGGAUUCGCAGACGUGCGCCUUUAAUUUAGAGGCGCGGAGCGCCCUCGAGCCCGCACACUGCAUUCGCCGUUUCUCCCUGACGCCUGUGCUCGUAUAUGUGUUCUGUGUACGAUGUUGGUACACAAAUCCCAGCUGAAAGUGCUUUUUCGCGCUGGUUUCAGUUGCACAAGUGCCACCGACCGCUGCACAAUUCCGUUGGUUAAUUGGCCGAAACUUGUGACGCGAGAAAUGCCAGGCCGUUUAAAGGACCGUCGAGGUUGAACCGAAAUCAACCUGAAAUCCUAUGUUUCAGGAAAUACUUCCUGAUUUCACUGGACCAUGACUGGAUAAAUAGAGAGAAUAAUGAUGAACGUCGAAACGAGGAAAGGUGCUUCAUCGAUAUACACUUCUCUGGCCUUAAUUUCAACAACAUUGAUUUCCCCGUUUCGAGGAAUAAUUGUGCACUAUUCGACACUUGUUUUUGGUAGGUUUUAUAGAAAUGGAAGUCAUCGCUUACCCAUUUCGUCAAUGAUUGGCGCCAUUCUAAGGGUGACUCCGACCAAGAGCAAAG